rnacentral:lncRNA from 1 species
CUUUGGGACUGUUGAUGUAGCAGUCUGUAAGAUUUCUCUGUAUGAAGAGGAAAAGGACAGAAAAAUGCAGCCUUUAUUUUGGCCUUAUCAGCUGUAAAAACCUCACCUUAUUUUGUAGGAGAAUGGCAGUUUAAUAUGGCCUGACACCCUAUUGCUUGUGAGCAGAUCAGUUGGCUUUGGUGGAGCUGCCCCCCACAUUUCUCAGUGUCUUUCACUGCUUCUGAAGGCUGAGAAGAAAUAUUCCAGUCUGUGGGAGUUGAUUGAAAAUAUCCUGUAUGUGAAUCUCCCUGGCUCUUCCUCAUUGCAGCAAACAUCAACUGGGCAAGUAAUUGUCUGCUUUUCUUUCCUGGUGUUUCUAGCAUUUCCUUUCUGUCCUCCAUUCU